CAUUGUUUACAAUGUGCGCCGCUGGGGGCCGCUAAUGAGGUGGGCCGGUAUAAAAGCUGCAGUCCUCCCACUGGUUCUUCCUUUGCGCUCCUAUCGUCGCCUCUGCGUCACUUCCGGGUCGGAGGUCGUCUGGUCUGACAGGGCGACUGUCUGUGUGCUGCUCUGGCCCCCCUGUAUGCGCUGCUGCGUUUGUUGGCUGUGGUAAACGCUGGUGGCUGCAUGGAGCCCUCUCUCCCCCUCCCUCCUCUCGUGUGAGUGUGUGUGUGCCCGCGCUGCGGAAAAGGUAUGUUAUGUGUAUUGUAGCACGCACCGCAUCAUGUUCAGUGUAUUUAGCCAUGCUAAUAGCAUUUUUCUUGGUUAGGUGCUAACUGUAGCCAGCUUAUCGGGCCGCUGCUGCUUUGUCUCAGCUGCUGCUUUGUCUCCUGUUGUGUCUCCUGCUUGCCUCCAUCACAUCUGCCGUUUGUCUCUGCUGCUUG